GACGAACGCUGGCGGCGUGCCUAAUACAUGCAAGUAGAACGCUGAAGAGAGGAGCUUGCUCUUCUUGGAUGAGUUGCGAACGGGUGAGUAACGCGUAGGUAACCUGCCUUGUAGCGGGGGAUAACUAUUGGAAACGAUAGCUAAUACCGCAUAACAAUGGAUGACACAUGUCAUUUAUUUGAAAGGGGCAAUUGCUCCACUACAAGAUGGACCUGCGUUGUAUUAGCUAGUAGGUGAGGUAAUGGCUCACCUAGGCGACGAUACAUAGCCGACCUGAGAGGGUGAUCGGCCACACUGGGACUGAGACACGGCCCAGACUCCUACGGGAGGCAGCAGUAGGGAAUCUUCGGCAAUGGGGGCAACCCUGACCGAGCAACGCCGCGUGAGUGAAGAAGGUUUUCGGAUCGUAAAGCUCUGUUGUAAGUCAAGAACGGGUGUGAGAGUGGAAAGUUCACACUGUGACGGUAGAUUACCAGAAAGGGACGGCUAACUACGU
rnacentral:rRNA from 1 species